UUGUGUUUCUUUUAGAUUCUCUUGAUGUAUUCAUAUUCAGAUGAUCAUUCGAUGACUUUCGUUUCUGAAGGCAAUACUAGCGAGCGCUUUUGCUAAGAAAGACUACAAAAGAGCCGCAGCUACAGCUUCUCGUGUACUGCAGGUACUGCAUAUUUUGUUUAAGUUUGUGGAAGCCUAUGUGCCCUGCAGGACUAAAUCUUGUGACAGUUGGGAUUGGUUCUCGGGUUUCUACUCGCGGCUAUACUUGGAGCAGCGUUGCAUUUUGGAGCAAAAGUGUUUACAAAAGACGAUAAAGUUUUACACCUCAUUAGCAUAGGACUUCCGUUUGUCGCAGGGACACAACCAGUCAAUGCUUUGGCGUUUGUAUUUGAUGGAGUUAACUUUGGAGCAUCCGAUUUUGGUUACGCCGCAGCUUCACUGGUGGCUAUAGUUUGCAUUUUGUGUUUGCUCUUCCUCUCAUCGACUCUUGGUUUUAUUGGACUUUGGUUUGGUCUCACUAUAUAUAUUGUCUUUGAUGUUUGUAGUUUAGGAUUCUCAAACAUUGGAUUUGAUGUUUGUAGUAUUUUACCUCUGCUGUUAAUGUGAUUGUUGCCUACAUGAAUAAUUCUUGGUUAUAGGAUAGCCACUAGUCAGUGUCUCAAACUUUGGUUUUGUGAUUCUAAAUGCUCUGUUAUUUCUAUUGUAAUAUGUUUUAUGUUUUGUA